CCUACGGGGGGCUGCAGUGGGGAAUAUUGGACAAUGGGCGAAAGCCUGAUCCAGCCAUGCCGCGUGUGUGAAGAAGGCCUUCGGGUUGUAAAGCACUUUCAGUGGGGAAGAAAGCCUUGGGGCUAAUACCCUCGAGGAAGGACAUCACCCACAGAAGAAGCACCGGCUAACUCCGUGCCAGCAGCCGCGGUAAUACGGAGGGUGCGAGCGUUAAUCGGAAUUACUGGGCGUAAAGCGCGCGUAGGCGGUCUGAUAAGCCGGUUGUGAAAGCCCCGGGCACAACCUGGGAACGGCAUCCGGAACUGUCAGGAGAGAGUGCAGGAGAGGAAGGGAGAAUCCGCGGGGUAGCGGUGAAAUGCGUAGAGCUCGGAAGGAAUACCAGUGGCGAAGGCGGCCUACUGGACUGACACUGACGCUGAGGUGCGAAAGCGUGGGUAGCAAACGGGAUUAGAUACCCCAGUAGUC
rnacentral:rRNA from 1 species